rnacentral:rRNA from 1 species
CCUACGGGGGGCAGCAGUGGGGGAUAUUGCACAAUGGGGGAAACCCUGAUGCAGCGACGCCGCGUGGGUGAAGAAGCGCCUCGGCGCGUAAAGCCCUGUCAGCAGGGAAGAAAAUGACGGUACCUGAAGAAGAAGCCCCGGCUAACUACGUGCCAGCAGCCGCGGUAAUACGUAGGGGGCAAGCGUUAUCCGGAUUUACUGGGUGUAAAGGGGGCGCAGACGGCGAUGCAAGCCAGGAGUGAAAGCCCGGGGCCCAACCCCGGGACGGCACUUGGCACUGCGUGGCUAGAGUGCAGGAGGGGCAG